AUUGAACGCUGGCGGCAGGCCUAACACAUGCAAGUCGAACGGUAGCACAGAGGAGCUUGCUCCUUGGGUGACGAGUGGCGGACGGGUGAGUAAUGUCUGGGAAACUGCCCGAUGGAGGGGGAUAACUACUGGAAACGGUAGCUAAUACCGCAUAACGUCGCAAGACCAAAGAGGGGGACCUUCGGGCCUCUUGCCAUCGGAUGUGCCCAGAUGGGAUUAGCUAGUAGGUGGGGUAACGGCUCACCUAGGCGACGAUCCCUAGCUGGUCUGAGAGGAUGACCAGCCACACUGGAACUGAGACACGGUCCAGACUCCUACGGGAGGCAGCAGUGGGGAAUAUUGCACAAUGGGCGCAAGCCUGAUGCAGCCAUGCCGCGUGUAUGAAGAAGGCCUUCGGGUUGUAAAGUACUUUCAGCGAGGAGGAAGGCGUUGUGGUUAAUAACCGCAACGAUUGACGUUACUCGCAGAAGAAGCACCGGCUAACUCCGUGCCAGCCGCC
rnacentral:rRNA from 1 species